rnacentral:rRNA from 1 species
AUUGGUCAAUGGGCGCAAGCCUGAACCAGCCAUCCCGCGUGCAGGAAGACGGCCCUAUGGGUUGUAAACUGCUUUUCCAGGGGGAGAAUCUUUCUGUCGUGACAGGAAUUGACGGUACCCUGGGAAUAAGCAUCGGCUAACUCCGUGCCAGCAGCCGCGGUAAUACGGAGGAUGCGAGCGUUAUCCGGAUUUAUUAGGUUUAAAGGGUGCGUAGGCGGAUUGAUAAGUCAGUGGUGAAAACCUGCAGCUUAACUGUAGACUUGCCGUUGAUACUGUCAGUCUUGAGUGUGGUGAAGGUAGGCGGAAUGUGUAAUGUAGCGGUGAAAUGCUUAGAUAUUACACAGAACACCGAUUGCGAAGGCAGCUUACUGGGCCAUUACUGACGCUGAUGCACGAAAGCGUGGGGAUCGAACAG